GAACCGACUGGCAAUCGUAGCUCUCAAAAGCUUCUGUCGAACUCUAACCCUGUAGAUGAACUCUAACCUUUGUCAAUGACUUGUCCAUUAGAUAAGGGAUCAUAUAUUCCUCCAUUCUAGAUAUCAUAUGGACUGAGACAUGGAUUAUAAUCAUUCUCUCUGUCCAUUUGUUGUUUCUUGGUUUCCGAUUUAUGAUGACUGACUAAUUGAACUAAUCAAAUCAGUCCUGGCCCGACCGAGCACUUCCAUUUGUCAUCAUCAAAUCAUCGAGGGGCCCACAGAUAUCGCUUUUAUCCCGAAGGUAAAAGGAAUGGAUAAACUUCGACUCAUAUGGCUUGUUCUACUACUUGUUGAAUCAUACACAAAGGCACGUUUUAUAGCACCGAGUUACCAAAUGCGUUUUCGUGCAAUCAAUGUACUAUCAACUCAUAGUAACAACUCAUAUCUCUAGGUUUGAAGAAUAUAAGAUAUUAUCGUCUCAUGAUCACUCGUGAUAAAAUCCAUGAAGUGAUUCCAAUGAGCGCGGGUUGAAUCCAAUACUCAGAACUUAUGAGCACUCAUGAGUGUUGUAGCCCUUUGUCCAACACCUUAGACCUCUACAAGCCAACCCAUGACAGUCUUAAUUCAUAUCUACUUCCAACAUAUGACCGACUGUGGAUGGUUUGAAUAACUUAGUCAUUCCGGAAGAAUAACCCAGUUUAUUCAGGAAGUCAAAACAUGCAAAGUGAAACACAAUAAUAAUUGAAUCCAAUAUGGUAUCAAAACCUAUGAACAUAAAUAAAACACCUUUUAUUUAUCACCAUAUGAUUACACAUUAUUCAUUGUAUAUUGUGUCAGCUAUCAACUUUAUUCUUGAAUUUAAAACAAUAGUUGUCCCAUGCUCCAAGCACGUACACUAUGUUUUCUAAACACUAGUCAUGCCAUCCACCAAGUAUGCAUACUAUGUUUUUCUAUGAUAUUUACUUUUUAAAAUAGAUCAAUUGAACAUAACUCCAAUAAUCCUCUCUUCACAUUUCCAAAACCUUACUGCAAAUGCAAGAAUUCCAAAUUCAUGCCAUUUACUGAAAUCUGUUAGAUUCUAAACUUAUAUGCAUUGAUCCUCUUGUAAUGAUUAUGCACAAAGUCACAAAGACUUGACAACAACCAUUACAGAGCAUUCCGAAAGAGAUCAGCUCCUUGGAAACAUCCUUCUUGCAUUAAGUUUCCAAAUAUUACAUAGAUUGAAUAAUUUCUAACUUUGAAACAUUUCCAGAUUCCAUUUUGACUAUCACUUCUGAACAAGAGUUGCCUCCUUAUAGAUGAUGUCAAUAUGGUCCUUCUAGAAUUAUCACUAUACUUCCAACUGUCCUUGAGCAACAAAUCUUUGGUAAACCUUAGAUUGUCCUCGACAAUUGUUUAAUCCUUUUAGUCAUAUCAAAUUCGAGACCUUUUCCCUUCUUAAUGCCCCAAGGAUUUGGAAAAUUUUAGAAAGGAUGAAUAUAGCACAUGUAAUCGAUCCUAUAUCUGAAGCAUAUGGGACACGAUUCAUGAUGUCUCAGAUAAAGCCUAAACUAGUCUUUUGCUAUAAUAUUUCCAUUUCAAUUUGCCAAGUUCUCAUAAUUCAGAUUAGAAAAAGGGAUGUCGUAAUCAUAAUUGAAUUUUAAAAACGCAAAUAAUGGAUCCAUAUAUAGAAUUUUUCUUAUGUUGAGCCAUUCCAACAUGAAAUUCCUAUAUAUGUCCUUGACUAAAUAUGAUUAAAACCUCAACCUAAGCUUUUAGAUUUCAAAUGAAGUAUAAUUUCCUCUCCCUUAGUUAUAGGAAAACAACUUUUUCCCAAUUGAAACUUUUGUUUUCUAUAAUUAACAUUGCUAACUUGCAAUACUUAUCAUAAUUAUCAUGCUCCCACUAACAUGAUGAUUAUUAGCAUAACACUUAUGCUCCCACUAGCUUUGACAUGUACUCAGAAAUCAGCUGGACUUCUAGGAAUCAAUACUUUAUUGACUUUCUUACCAAAGUUCAGAUUUCUGAUACUAGAUUGCUUUGAUAAAAUUUUAUCGUUAUAAAGUUCCCUAGGAACUAGGCUGGACAUGAGUAUAGCCUACCAUCCACAUACCGACGAGCAAAGUGAGAGAAUUAUCCAAACCUUGGAAGAUAUGUUGCGAGCAUGUGUGGUCAACUUUGGGAAAGCAUGGGAUACUCAUUUACCCCUUGUCGAAUUUUCCUACAACAACAAUUAUCACAUGAGCAUAAAGGCUGCUCCAUUCGAGGCCCUCUAUGGUCGAAAGUGCAGAUCCCUUCUAUGUUGGGCUGAGGUGGGUGAUACCCAGAGUUAGCUAAAGGAUGAGUUCCUAACAGCACUCUCACAGGUCCGGAGAUCAUAUGGGAAACGACGGAGAAAGUCGUUCAGAUGCGUGAGCGAUUGAAACCCUCUAGAGACCGACAUAAAAGCUACACUGAUAAACGUACGAAACCGUUGCAAUUCUAGGUGGUGACCGUCUUCUAUUGAAGGUCUCACCCUGGAAGGUCUGUCCGACGAGACUCUUGUAAUCCCCCUCGACGAGAUCGAGAUCAACGAGAGCCUCAACUUCGUGUAAGAACCAGUGGAGAUCAUGGACCAGGUUCCCUAGAAAGCAAACGAAACAAAGCCGUAUCCCGAUAGUGAAGGUUUGCUGGAACGCCAAGCGAGGACCUGAAUUCACUUGGGAGUGUGAGAAUCAGAUGAAACUGAAAUAUACUCGUCUUUUUACUUAGUUAUUUGUAACUACUUAUUUGCUUAAACUCUAAUUUCGGGACGAAAUUCCUUCUAAGGAGGGGAUGAUGUGACAACCUGAAAUUUCUAUUCUUUACGACAUUUCCAUUCAAUAGAAGUCAGAACAGUACUAUUAAUUUUCAGACUUUUUAGAAGAAGUUUGAGUAUUUUAGGAUUAACAAUUUACGAGAGAUCAGGAGAGAGGAUGCCCUAGACUUUAUUGUGCAACAAUAAAGUCCCGACACAUCAAAAUAUAGGAGUUUACGGCCUAAACAAUGGUGUUUACGGCCGUAAACUCCAAGGAAUGGGGUAUAUAAGUGACACUUAGUCAUUUAUAUCAUUUUCCACCUUUUCAAGAACAAACCUCAAACUCUCUCAAGUAUCAUCAAAGUUUUCNAUCAAAGUUUCUUCAAGAUCUUCAAUCUAGUAAGUGUUUCUAGCCCUUUCUAGUUAGUAUAUCACCUAAUCUAGUGUUUUAACACACGUCCAUCCGUGAAAAUGUUCCAAAAGGUUGUUCUUCAAGUUUCACCAAGAACACACACUAGUGUUCUUGGACUUUUGGCUCAUUUCAAGCUUCUAUAUUGUAAGUACUUCUGUCCUAGAGUAUCAUAGAGCUUAUUAUACUUCCAUAUAUCAAGAAAACACAAAGAAACACUAAGAUCAAAGUUGUUUACGGUCCAUGAACUCCGUGAACCGUAAACCCUUCUUAAGGGGAAAAAGUGACCCUAGUCCCUUCCUUCCCUUGGGAAACUAGUCUAGACACAUUCCUUAAUGUGUAUAGGACUUGAAAACAUCAAAAUACCAUGAUCCAUGAGGGUUUACGACCGUAAACCCUAAGGAAAAUGGUCUUAGGGUCGUAAACUCCUCAAAGGAGGGAAAUGGUGCCCUAACUUCUUCCUUAGGCUUAUACAUCAAGUAGAAAUGCUUCUAGGCAAUUAUAAACCUUCAAAUCAAGAAAUGGACAAAGGAGUAUGAGCUUACGAACGUAAACUCAUGGGUUUACGACCGUAAACUCAAUGAGUUGAGGUCACAAUACCGUAAACACAAGAAAGGGGUUCUUUUGAACCCUAAACCCAAUAGCUUUGUCCUACAACACUUAGAUGCAAUCCUGGGACUUAUAACACUUAUAUAAAGUGUUUAACUUGUCUUAGGAUGUUAUAACUUUGUAAAUUAGUUGUUUAAAGACUAAUUGGAUACAUAUAUGUGCGUUUAUAUGUUAACUAGGAUCAUUGUGUGUGUAUAAGUCUUCACUUGACACCUAACAAUCCUAUAUCUUCAGUUCAUCCAAAUCGCUCACUACAGGUGAGUUCAUACCCCUUAAAUUGACCUUUUAAUGUUUUUAAAUUCUUUUAUGGGGGGAUACAAGUUGAAUACUUAUAGUUAUUAUAUCAAUCACAUGUGAUUAAUAGCUACCAAACAAGUGGUUUUCUUACUUUUCAAACUGUGUUAUCAAACUGUUUUGCUUCAAACUAUUUUACAAACUCCUCUGUUGUCAAAUAAUUUAACUUCAACUCUUUUCAUACUUUUAUAUUUUCAAACACAUGCCUUUGUAUGUAUAGUUAUAUAAGUAAUUUUUAAAGGAUUUAGGAUGGCUAGCUCGCAUUAUCUCCUUUUCCUUGUUAAGAUGUGGCGUUAGGGCAUCGGGUAUCCGUCCGAAGGUCGUCUAAAUAUUAGUUAUAUAUUAUGUAUACAUAUAUAGACAUAAAAGUUCCACCAUCCAAUUCAAUACUCUUGAGUAGCAAGGGUAUACAUUGAUGAUCAUUAUGUACAAGUCAUAUUACUAGUAAACUACGAUAGGCAUAGUUUAGGAAGAUACUAAUGCUAUUACAAGAACGAAGAAUCAUACAAUUAGUCGGUUCAUUCAUGAGUUAAUACUUGCUAGAUAGAGAGAGAGCACAAUACAGCUAGUACACACAGUAAAUUACUAUACAUGCUAGAUAGAGAAAUAACACACAUUACAGCUAGUACACGCAGAACUUGACAAUACAUACAGGCUAGACAGAGAAAGAACACACAAUACAGCUAGGACAUACAUUACAUAUACAUUCAUGCAGUUAUUGUUGGUUUUUGAGCACUCUAACACUCCUAAGUGUACAUGCAACCCUAAAUACCUUGGAUCUAUGUUUUCUCUAUUAUACAUGCAAAUAUGAACUUUCGAAGGUAUUCAUCCUAACUAGCAUAAUAAUAUGAUUCAUAUGAAUAUAUAUCAAUUUACAAUUACAUACCUCUUUAAUGUAGAAAGUAUUCAUGAAGCUUGACUUCCUAGUACCCCAAGUGUGACACCUCAAAUGGUUCACACAACACCAGAUACACUUGGAAUAACUUGAGAGAAACUUGUACACUCCUUGAAAUCGUCUAGCCCUCACACUCACACAUAGUGCACGAGUUAUUGAACCAUGGUAUUCUUUUAUAUGGUGGUUGUUAGGGUUACACCAUGUAACUCAUGACUUUACCUAUUCCUUAUGCUCCAUGGAUUUUAACCUCCAUGGAGUAUCCAUGGGUCACCCCAUGCACUUAGUCCAACACAAGGAAUCUUGGAUCACAAGCCCACAUAUAUAAUAAUGAAUGAUUUACACAAUCAACCCAUAUAUUUAAUUACUCUCCUUUUGAUCACUUAAUUAAUUCCAAAUUAAUUCUUGAUCAAUACCAAUUAAAUAACCUUAUUAAUAUAUUAGAACUUAUAAUAUAUUAACAAACCUUAAGUGUUAUUUCUCUCAUUUUAGUCUAUCCAAAUGCAUGAUGCCAUGCAACCCAAAUGGACCAUGUCGGGUCGGGUCAAGUCUUACCAAUUAUAGUUAUGGACAUAGACAUUAAUCCAACAGUCUCCCACUUGGAUAAGUCUAAAACUAUUACUGCGUAUGACUUCAAGAACCGACUGGCAAUCGUAGCUCUCAAAAGCUUCUGUCGAACUCUGACCUUGUAGAUGAACUCUGACCUUUGUCAAUGACUUGUCCAUUAGAUAAGGGAUCAUAUAUUCCUCCAUUCUAGAUAUCAUAUGGACUGAGACAUGGAUUAUAAUCAUUCUCUCUGUCCAUUUGUUGUUUCCCGAUUUCCGAUUUAUGACGACUGACUAAUUGAACAAAUCAAAUCAGUCCUGGCCCGGCCGAGCACUUCCAUUUGUCAUCAUCAAAUCAUCGAGGGGCCCACAGAUAUCGCUUUUAUCCCGAAGGUAAAAGGAACGGAUAAACUUCGACUCAUAUGGCUUGUUCUACUACUUGUUGAAUCAUACACAAAGGCACGUUUUAUAGCACCGAGUUACCAAAUGCGUUUUCGUGCAAUCAAUGUACAACCAACUCAUAGUAACAACUCAUAUCUCUAGGUUUGAAGAAUAUAAGAUAUUAUCGUCUCAUGAUCACUCGUGAUAAAAUCCAUGAAGUGAUUCCAAUGAGCGCGGGUUGAAUCCAAUACUCAGAACUUAUGAGCACUCAUGAGUGUUGUAGCCCUUUGUCCAACACCUUAGACCUCUACAAGCCAACCCAUGACAGUCUUAAUUCAUAUCUACUUCCAACAUAUGACCGACUGUGGAUGGUUUGAAUAACUUAGUCAUCCAGAACAAUGACCUAGUUAUGAAGGAAGUCAAAACACGCAAAGUGACACAAAAUAAUAAUUGAAUCCAAUAAGGUAUCAAAACCUAUGAACAUAAAUAAAACACCUUUUAUUUAUCACCAUAUGAUUACACAUUAUUCAUUGUAUAUUGUUUCAGCUAUCAACUUUAUUCUUGAAUUUAAAACAAUAGUUGUCCCAUGCUCCAAGCAUGUACACUAUGUUUUCUUAACACUAGUCAUGCCAUACACCAAGUAUGCAUACUAUGUUUGUCUAUGAUCUUUACUUUGUGAACUAGAUCAAUUGAACAUAACUUCAAUGAUUCUCUUUUCACACUCCCAAAUCCUUACUGCAAAUGCAAGAAUUCCAAAUUCAUGCCAUUUACUGAAAUCUGUUAGAUUCUAAACUUAUAUGGAUUGAUCCUCUUGUAAUGAUUAUCCACAAAGUCGCAAAGACUUGACAACAACCAUUACAGAGCAUUCCAAAAGAGAUCAGCUCCUUGGAAACAUCCUUCUUCCAUUAAGUUUCCAAAUAUUACACAGAUUGAAUAAUUUCUAACUUUGAAGCAUUUCCAGAUUCCAUUUUGACUAUCACUUCUGAACAAGAGUUGCCUCCUUACAGAUUAUGUCAAUAUGGUCCUUCUAGAAUUAUCACUAUACUUCCAACUGUCCUUGAGCAACAAAUCUUUGGUAAACCUUAAAUUGUCCUCAACAAUUGUUUAAUCCUGAUAAACGUAGGAAACCAUUGGAGUUCUAGGUGGUGACCGUCUUCUAUUGAAGGUCUCACCCUGGAAGGUCUGUCCGACGAGACUCUUGUAAUCCCCCUCGACGAGAUCGAGAUCAACGAGAGCCUCAACUACGUGUAAGAACCAGUGGAGAUCAUGGACUAGGUUCCCUGGAAAGCAAACAAAACAAAGUCGUAUCCCGAUAAUGAAGGUUCGCUGGAACGCCAAGGGAGGACCUGAAUUCACUUGGGAUCGUGAGAAUCAGAUGAAACUGAAAUAUCCUCGUCUUUUUACUUAGUUAUUUGUAACUACUUAUUUGCUUUAACUCUAAUUUCGGGACGAAAUUCCUUCUAAGGAGGGGAUGAUGUGACAACCCGAAAUUUCUAUUCUUUACGACAUUUCCAUUCAAUAGAAGUCAGAACAGUAUUGUUAGUUUUUAGACUUUUUAGAAUAAGUUUGAGUAUUUUAGGAUUAACAAUUUAGGAGAUAUCAGGAGAGAGGAUGCCCUAGACUUUAUUGUGCAACAAUAAAGUCCCGACACAUCAAAAUAUAGGAGUUUACGGCCUAACCAAUGGUGUUUACGGCCGUAAACCCCAAGGAAUGGGGUAUAUAAGUGAAACUUAGUCAUUUAUAUCAUUUUUCCACCUUUUCAAGAACAAACCUCAAACUCUCUCAAGUAUCAUCAAAGUUUUCUUCAAGAUCUUCAAUCUAGUAAGUGUUUCUAGCCCUUUCAAGUUAUUAUAUCACCUAAUCAAGUGUUUUAACACACAUCCAUCCAUGAAAAUGUUCCAAAAGGUUGUUCUUCAAGUUUCACCAAGAACACACACUAGUGUUCUUGGACUUUUGGCUCAUUUCAAGCUUCUAUAUUGUAAGUACUUCUGUCCUAGAGUAUCAUAGAGCUUAUUAUACUUCCAUAUAUCAAGAAAACACAAAGAAACACUAAGAUCAAAGUUGUUUAUGGUCCAUCAACUCUGUGAACCGUAAACCCUUCUUAAGGGGCAAAAGUGACCCUAGUCCUUUCCUUCCCUUGGGAAACUAGUCUAGACACAUUCCUUAAUGCGUAUAGGACUUGAAAACAUCAAAAUACCAUGAUCCAUGAGGGUUUACGACCGUAAACCCUAAGGAAAAUGGUCUUACGGCCGUAAACUCCUCAAAGGAGGGAAAUGGUGCCCUAACUUCUUCCUUAGGCUUAUACAUCAAGUAGAAAUGCUUCUAGGCAAUUAUAAACCUUCAAAUCAAGAAAUGGAUAAAGGAGUAUGAGCUUACGACCGUAAACUCAUGGGUUUACGACCGUAAACUCAAUGAGUUGAGGUCACCAAAGCGUAAGCACAAGAAAGGGGUUCUUUUGAACCCUAAACCCAAUAGCUUUGUCCUACAACACUUAGAUGCAAUCCUUGGGACUUAUAACACUUAUAUAAAGUGUUUAACAUGUCUUAGGAUGUUAUAACUUUGUAAAUUAUUUGUUUAAAGACUAAUUGGAUACAUAUAUGUGUGUUUAUAUGUUAACUAGGAUCAUUGUGUGUGUACAAGUCUUCACUUGACACCUAGCAAUCCUAUAUCUUCAGUUCAUCCAAAUCGCUCACUACAGGUGAGUUCAUACCCCUUAAAUUGACAUUUUAAUGUUUUUAAAUGCUUUUAUGGGGGGGAUACAAGUUGAAUACUUAUAGUUAUUAUAUCAAUCACAUGUGAUCAAUAGCUACCAAACAAGUGGUUUUCUUACUUUUCAAACUGUGUUAUCAAACAGUUUUGCUUCAAACUAUUUUACAAACUCUUCUGUUGUCAAAUAAUUUAACUUAAACUCUUUUCAUACUUUUAUAUUUUCAAACGCAUGCCUUUGUAUGUAUAGUUAUAUAAGUAAUUUUUAAAGGAUUUAGGAUGGCUAGCUCGCAUUAUCUCCUUUUCCUUGUUAAGAUGUGGCGUUAGGGCAUCGGGUAUCCGUCCGAAGGUCGUCUAAAUAUUAGUUAUAUAUUAUGUAUACAUAUAUAGACAUAAAAGUUCCACCAGCCAAUUCAAUACUCUUGAGUAGCAAGGGUAUACAUUCAUGAUCAUUACGUUCAAGUCAUAUUACUAGUAAACUACGAUAGGCAUAGUUUAGGAAGAUACUAAUACUAUUACAAGAACGAAGAAUCAUACAAUUAGUCGGUUCAUUCAUGAGUCAAUACUUGUUAGAUAGAGAGAGAGCACAAUACAACUAGUACACACAGUAAAUUACUAUACAUGCUAGAUAGAGAAAGAACACACAUUACAGCUAGUACACGCAGAACUUGAUAAUACAUACAGGCUAGACAGAGAAAGAACACACAAUACAGCUAGGACAUACAUUACAUAUACAUUCAUGCAGUUAUUGUUGGGUUUUGAGCACUCUAACACUCCUAAGUGUACAUGCAACCCUAAAUACCUUGGACCUAUGUUUACUCUAUUAUACAUGCAAAUAUGGACUUUCGAAGGUAUUCAUCCUAACUAGCAUAAUAAUAUGAUUCAUAUGAAUAUAUAUCAAGUUAUAAUUACAUAGCUCUUUAAUGUAGAAAGUAUUCAUGAAGCUUGAGUGCCUAGUACCCAGUGUGUGACAGCUCAAAUGGUUCACACAACACCAAAUACACUUGGAAUAACUUGAGAGAAACUUGAACACUCCUUGAAAUCGUCUUGCCCUCACACUCACACAUAGUGCACGAUUUCUUGAACCAUAGGAUUCUUUUAUAUGGUGGUUAUUAGGGUUACACCAUGUAACUCAUGACUUUACCCAUUCCUUAAGCUCCAUGGUUUUUAACCUCCAUGGAGUAUCCAUGGGUCAUCCCAUGGACUUAGUCCAACACAAGGAAUCUUGGAUCACAAGCCCACAUAUAUAAUAAUGAAUGAUUUACACAAUCAACCCAUAUAUUUAAUUAGUCUCCUUUUGAUCACUUAAUUAAUUCCAAAUUAAUUCUUGAUCAAUACCAAUUAAAUAACCUUAUUAAUAUAUUAGAACUUAUAAUAUAUUAACAAACCUUAAGUGUUAUUUCUCUCAUUUUAGUCUAUCCAAAUGCAUGAUGCCAUGCAACCCAAAUGGACCAUGUCGGGUCGGGUCAAGUCUUACCAAUUAUAGUUAUGGACUUAGACAUUAAUCCAACAGUCUCCCACUUGGAUAAGUCUAAAACUAUUAUUGCUUAUGACUUCAAGAACCGACUGGCAAUCGUAGCUCUCAAAAGCUUCUGUCGAACUCUGACCUUUUAGAUGAACUCUGACCUUUGUCAAUGACUUGUCCAUUAGAUAAGGGAUCAUAUAUUCCUCCAUUCUAGAUAUCAUAUGGACUGAGACAUGGAUUAUAAUCAUUCUCUCUGUCCAUUUGUUGUUUCUUGGUUUUUGAUUUAUGAUGACUGACUAAUUGAACUAAUCGAAUCAGUCCUGGCCCGACCGAGCACUUACAUUUUUCAUCACCAAAUCAUCGAGGGGCCCACAAAUAUCGCUUUUAUCCCGAAGGUAAAAGGAAUGGAUAAACUUCGACUCAUAUGGCUUGUUCUACUACUUGUUGAAUCAUACACAAAGGCACGUUUUAUAGCACCGAGUUACCAAAUGCGUUUUCGUGCAAUCAAUGUACUAUCAACUCAUAGUAACAACUCAUAUCUCUAGGUUUGAAGAAUAUAAGAUAUUAUCGUCUCAUGAUCACUCGUGAUAAAAUCCAUGAAGUGAUUCCAAUGAGCGCGGGUUGAAUCCAAUACUCAGAACUUAUGAGCACUCAUGAGUGUUGUAGCCCUUUGUCCAACAUCUUAUACCUCUACAAGCCAACCCAUGAAAGUCUUAAUUUAUAUCUACUUCUAACAUAUGAUUGACUGUGGAUGGUUUGAAUAACUUACUCAUCCAGAACAAUGACCUAGUUAUAUUCGGGAAGUCAAAACAUGCAAAGUGAAACACAAUAAUAAUUGAAUCCAAUAUGGUAUCAAACCUUUGAACAUAAAUAAAACACCUUUUAUUUAUCACCAUAUGAUUACACAUUAUUCAUUGUAUACUGUUUCAGCUAUCAACUUUAUUCUUGAAUUUAAAACAAUAGUUGUCCCAUGCUCCAAGCAUGUACACUAUGUUUUCUAAACACUAGUCAUGCCACACACCAAGUAUGCAUACUAUGUUUGUCUAUGAUCUUUACUUUGUGAACUAGAUCAAUUGAACAUAACUUCAAUGAUUCUCUUUUCACAGUCCCAAAUCCUUACUGCAAAUGCAAGAAUUCCAAAUUCAUGCCAUUUACUGAAAUCUGUUAGAUUCUAAACUUAUAUGCAUUGAUCCUCUUGUAAUGAUUAUGCACAAAGUCACAAAGACUUGGCAACAAUCAUUACAGAGUAUUCCAAAGGAGAUCAACUCCUUGGAAAUAUCCUUCUUGCAUUAAGUUUCCUUAAUCUUACACAGAUUGAAAAUUCUAACUUUGAAACAUUUCCAGAUUCCAUUUUGACUAUCACUUCUGAACAAGAGUUGCCUCCUUACAGAUUAUGUCAAUAUGGUCCUUCUAGAAUUAUCACUAUACUUCCAACUGUCCUUGAGCAACCAAUCUUUGGUAAACCUUAGAUUGUCCUCGACAAUUGUUUAAUCCUUUUAGUCAUAUCCAAUUCUAGACCUUUUCCCUUCUUAAUGCCCCAGGCAUUUGGAAAAUUUUAGAAAGGAUGAAUAUAGCACAUGUAAUCGAUCCUAUAUCUGAAGCAUAUGGGACACGAUUCAUGAUGUCUCACAUAAAGACUAAACUAGUCUUUUUCUAUAAUAUUUCCAUUUCAAUUUGCCAAGUUCUCAUAAUUC
rnacentral:lncRNA from 1 species